AGAGCAAAACACUUUUGCUGCUUAAACUCAGAUCUGCGCCUUUUGCCGUAAUAAAGCAAGGAUAAAUAACUGCCAUAAAGCCUCCGCCGCGCCGCCAACCACACCUUCGGAGGGUGAGUAUAUUCCAGCUUCUUUCCAUUGUACUUAACCAGGGAAGCGACCGGAGGGGGAGAGAGAGGGGAUCUUAGCGCUAUACCUUCCCCACCGACCUUUCCCCCCCCUACCCCCCCCCCCUUAAAUAUAUCUAUAUCUGUAUCUAUAAGCGCUGCCAGCCGCAGCCCCGGCGCGGUCCGAUCGCAGAGCCCCGUCCCCGCCCGCAGCCCCAGCCCCGGCCCCAUCCCCAGCCCCGGCCGCCGCUUUGGGAAUGACUUUGAGGCACUUCGCAGCCUCGGACCUGGGAGCCGAUCCCGGUCGUUGGGUUUGCUGGCUUGUUUGUUUGUUUGCUGAUUUCUUUAUUUAGCUAAAGGACGUGCUAACUGGCGGUGCUGCGAUUACACAGCCUCGGGUCUCCCCCCCUCCCCUCUUCCCCUCCUUAGAGCAACCCACGUAACCUUAGAAACGAUCGUUUAAGACGCACGUUAGCUAACAUUUGCUUUUUUGGAUUUUUUGUUUUCCUUAAAAGAGAAACACAAGAAUCACAACACAUUGCCCGCAAAAAAAAAGUGUCAAAGAAGAAGAAAAAAAACUAGAAGUAAACAUACCAAAACCAUAUUUGCCUUGUUCAAGGUCCCAAAUCGCUUGCAUCUUCCUUUUUCUACCUCUCCUUUAGUUUGGCAGGUGAAACAAACAAACAACAAAAAAAUGAUCAGACCGCUGUCUGCCCCCCAGAAAGAUGUGCGUUGGGUAAUUAAAGAGAAGUCUCCUUCGUGGUGUUUAUCUAAGCGAUUGUGCAAACUGAUAAAAAAAAAAAAAAAAAAAAGAAGAAGGAAAAAAAAAAAGUAAAGUUACAGCCUUCAGGGGGAGAAAAAAAAGGAGGCAAGGUGAAGGGAAUAGAUUUCCCACAACCUAAAGGGAAGUGCUUUCGAUGUAUUAUUAGCGAUCAGCCCUGGGAGAGAGGAAAAAAAAAUCCUGAACACACUCUAACUUUACACAGACAAGGUUUCAGGGGGGGCUUUGAACAUAGCUGCUGAGGAAUGUGCGCCUCGCCUUUAAGAAAAAAUCCCCAAGCCCAAGAAGGCAGAAAUAUGUGACCUGCUGAGCGACGUGGGUACUUUUUGAAAGGAACUAUCCCAAGACAGCGUGCUUAUGGGGACCAAACGUGAAGACAGAGUUGAUGGAUCUGGAGCCCUGACUGCUGCCCGGCAAUGGCUCAGCAUGGACUGUUCUCAUCCUGGCUGCUCUUCAACAGUGCUUCAAGCUGCACAAAGACUCAAGAACCAAGCCAACACCAAGAGCAUGACCAGGAAUCUGAGAAUCAAGCCAGCACCAAGUGCAUGACCAAGUGUUUACUCCUCUUCUCGACCAUACCUGAAACACAGUGUGAACUUUCAUUCUGUGCUUCUGCAGGUUCCUGAUGCCAAAGGUCUGACCUUACAAUGAGCAACACACGGGGUGAGAUCGGGCACUGCACUGAGCUUCACACACAGCUAUUUUGAUCAUAAACGCAGAUUUGCAGAACUCUUUGUCUGCAGGACAGACUCAGCCUGGCUUAUUACCACACCACUGCCUUCGCUAAUGCACAUACUACCAGCUCUGAUGCACUGGGACCACCACUGCUGGCCAAUUUCCAGUCUGAUUAUCUUGCCUAGAUCCUGCCAACAACCAGGGAACAAGCGCAAGCCAGCAGAGAAAAUGAACGAGCAGAAGUACCAGGAUCCUGUGCCAUCCUAUCCUCUGCUGUCAGGUUGGGGUCACAACUGCCAUUUGGAAAAGCAACUUCCAUGGAGAUGUGAACGGAAUACGAUUACAACUCUGCCAGUUACACAGGAUGUUUGAAACCAUGCAGUCAUUUCCAUUCUGGAUUUCGUGAGGAUUUAUUCUUGUCUGAGUGAUGAAUCAUCCAUACAACCCUCUGUGGAUUCCAGGUGAGUUACUCACACUAGGUGCUUCCAAGUAACACACAGAGAGGUGCUGAGAAAAUGACAAGUCUCUGCCCAGUCAGAAAGCUCAGCAAAGGUAGAUCAGAGAAAAAUGCCCAUAAAAUGUUUCUAGAGGAAACCCACGGCCAGAAAGCUUCUGCCUUCAAAAAAGCAUGACAAGCAGGGAGUUCUUGCACUACUGACUGACCAAUGGCUGCUCCCUGUCCUCAGAAAUAGAUCAGGAAAUAACUGAAAGUACCUGGAGAUAUCAAAAGGAUAAUUAAGUUUCAUUGUGAGAAUAAGAAGGUAAUCUGUCCAGACAAAUCUAGGGCCUAGUAUUGAAAACUGUAGUAUCUGAAUAUAAAAAAAUGAGUAAUUUUGAAUAAAGAUGUCUAUCAGGACUGUAAAUUCAGAGAGUAAAAAAGUAGCCUUGCCUAAUAGACCAUCUCUCCAUCUUCCUCUAACUCAUUUUCUUGUUCUAUUUCUUCCUUUUGUGUUCUUGCAAAAAACACAUGUAAAAUCUAGUACUGAGAAUGCUUUAGCUUCAUUUCAACCAUUUCUUCUCAAAAGGUUUUGUUCCACUGGGAAGAUUCCCCCUAGCCCAGCCACAGUGGAGGAAGGCUUGCAGAGCCACUUCACAGACAGAACAGCUGUAUUUUGAGGGGUUCUCCAAAGCAGUCAGGACCCUGCUCUUGUGGAGCUCUCGAAAAUGCUUUUGAACCGGCAUGAGAAAUCACCUGGGACCCAGAGCAGAGCACAGGGCGCAUAGGACAGUAUUUCCUCUGUGCCUUUUUUGCUGAGCAGAACUGCUGCACUAUAAACAAACGUGAGUUUUGCCUCAUUCUUAGAUAGUGUGAGUUAUGAAAGCCCACUCCAGACAUAAUGAAUGUAUAGAUCAUUUUGACCAGAUCAUAAUCUAUAAGUAAAUAAUGUUCUCUGAAAACGUAUAGGUGAAAUAAAGAACUUGCUACUAUUGCUCUAUUGGUAUCAGGGAUUACUGAUGAGGCCAACAUAGGUCUGAGUCUCUGUGCUGGUGUUUAUAUACAACGCAGAACUAACGACAGGGUUUGGCUAGCAAAUUCCAUCCCAGAUUGGGACAUUCAGGGAUUAUACAGCUGCAAACAGAACCUGAACCUAUACAGAAUUUAUCUGUCUACAGACUUUAUCACAAGCCCCAGUCUUAGAUGAACCGGCAGACACAAAACAUUUAUAAAACUCCUCCAUUAGGCACCCCUGAUUUUGGUAGUGAUUAUUAAUAAGCAAAUCCCAUAGCAAUUUUCAAAAGGAGCAGGACUCUGGUGCACCUAGGCUAACACCUAUGACUUCACUGCACAGAGUAAGCCUGAGGACGCCACGCUGAGGACCCAAUAGCUGGCUGCUGUCAUGGUCUCUACCACGGGAGAGCUAGUUUUAAAGAAGAUGGCACUUAAGUGACAUCUGUGUGACAUGUGCUGCCCUGUCCAGAGACUGGACUCCAUGUAUUUUGCCCUAAAACUAGAGAGGAAGUCACUGGGAAAAAAAAAAAAAAAAGGGAAAGAAACACGAGGGAAUAAAAGUACUUUUGAAAGAGAAGAAAUCUACAUUUCAAUGAAAAUCCUUUCAAGGCAUUUCAAAUAAGAGUCUGAGAGAAAUAAUUACAAAGUUUGGAGAGAAAGAACGUUAGCUUUGAUAUCUUUUUCUUCUAUGAAGCAAUUAAAAUAAGCAAUUUUUCAAAUACUAAGCAGAAAAUUACUAAUGGCUGAACCCAAAAGCUUUCAUUUCCUUCUUGGGGCCUUUAUUCUUCUAAAAAAAGACAAAAAAUGUGAAGGUGGUUUUCCAGAUAGAUUAAUGCAUAAAGCAGUCGCUAGUUGGAUGUCAUAAAAACUACAGCAGCAUAGAAUAGCUGAGAUUAAGAGCUAGAUCUAAAUCAUGCAACAGUCCAGUUAAUAUCAAUGUCUAAUUAAGAAAUGCAUAAGAAGUCUGUAAUGUUGAUUUGAUGGAGAAAAACUCUAAUAGGGUUUCUUUUGGAAUUUUCCAUUUCAAUUGCUGUGUAGACUUUUAAUGGAUGUCCUCUCCAGUCUUUGGUAUUAGCAGGAAUCAUCCUCAAAUUAAAACCAGGGCCUAAAAUGGAACACAGGUAGACAAAUUAGCUUGUCUGGGAAGCAGUCCAGAUAGCAUGACAAUGUGAGCUCAAGCAGAAAUUUUAGUACAAAUAAAAGAGAACAAAUGUCUCAAAUCUGGUGUGGAAACCCUAUCUGCUUAUCGUUUAAACAAUUUCAAACCCUGUAAUUUCAAACAAUGCAAUGUAACCUGUUUCCUCACCUCCCUCAGCCUGCCAAAACGUGACAAUUCAUAUGCAGAAAGCCACAGACCAUUAAGAAUUAUUAAUUAGCCAUUUUGAAUUGGAUGACCUGCCAUAGCCAUGUAGACUUUCUGUAGCCAUGCAUAUUACUGUCACCUAAAGGUGGGCUCUUUUUGGCUUGUAAUGGCAUUUAGAACACAUGGCUCCCUAUCACUACCAAUGUUGCAAUUAGUUUCCCACUCCCUUCUAGGUAACUAACACUCUCAAACUUUGAGCAAAAUGAAACUUGUGGCAUCUGUCCCAGAUUAUCCAGGUUGUUUGGUCUCUAGGUAUGAAAGGAGAACUGGUUUUACAUUGUGUGUCACAGAUACCCUGAAGUUGUUAAGUUACAAGCAGUGUAACUGCUAGCACGCAUAAAUCCUCACAGCAAAGAGGGAGAAAGCAUAGCACUGGCUUAAAGCAGCAGUGUAUUUGUUAUCUCCACUUUGUUGUUGACCCAACAAAUCCGGGGGGAAUUAUCUCAAGAAUCCAGGAAGACAGCAAACUCGAAAUAACCUCUAUGACCUAAGGAGCAGGCACACUAGGGAGUCAUUUUUAAGUUCAUUAGAGCACAUUAAAAUACAAUACACUGACCACGGUAAAGGCAAAGCAUAUUAUUCCUUCUGCCCACAUAUUUCUUUCAAGUACUAAAUCCAUCUAGAGUCCUUUCAGAAUCAUACCAUAAAGCCUUGCCACUUCACUUUACCAACAAAGUGGAAAAGACCAGAGGUAAUAUCAGAACAACAGUGAAAGUUUGGCACUUCCAAAUUGCUGUCAUUGCCUGAAAUGUCACAGUCUAAAUCCUUAUCUGGCAUUUUUCCAUUGAUCAAUGAGGCACAGAUGCUUCAUAUUAAAAAGCGAUACCAUGGGACUUGGGGUGCCCCAAGGAUUUUUCUCCUUGAGCAAGGGAGCUCUGACAUUCUCAGCAAGGCACCCACCCUCUGAAUGAUCAGGGUUUAAUGAUGUGACAUUCAGCUCAUAAGAGGAGUCUGAUUUUCCACAAAUAAUUCCGCUGGACUGUAUGAUUGGGGAACUACCAGGUUUUUCAAAUUAAAAUGAAGCACAGCUUUUGGAGGAUGCUUUCCCUGCAAGACUGGAUUUAUGCACUAUGUAGGAAAUAAGAGCAUGAAACUGGCUGCCUUCUGCAAAAAAUACACAACAGAAAAAAUAAACAAACCUUAACUUGCCCAACACACUUGAGAGCUACAGAUUUCCUUACUGCUUUACUAAAGGAGAGGACAACUUCUUCUUUCCUCCAUAAAACUAUCCUUUCAGACAUUACUACAGUCAUGACUUCACUGCGGUUCCUGGAUUCUUUCUGAAAAAAUGGAAUGAACUAAUACACCAGUGAUCUCAUCAAAGCGUAAAGGACAUCUUAUACAGGAGGAAAAAGAAUAUCUGGGGAACCUCAGUGCUCCAUCUGCAUAAAGACAGUAGAAAAAGGACUGUCACAUUGGAGAGAAUGAAAGGUUCAAUGCCGGAGACACACUUUUCCAUCUUAUAAAUAACUAGGAUUCCUCUUACUUAUCACACUUGCCAUCCUUCUAGCUGUCCCUACAGGUGUUCUUUUUUCUCCUGCCUUUAUCAAUACCUUCUCUUGUCUCUUCUGUGCUUUUCAUACAUGUUUUAACACACUUGAUUACUCUCUGAAUCAUACACACUACUGAUCUCAGCUACAUUCAAAAUACAUUUUUAGGAUAUGACAUAGUGCUGUUACACAAAUAUUCACAAACUUCAUUCAUAGCUUAGGUAGUUCUGGCUAAAGACUUGUUUCUCCACAUUCACAUAGUUCUGAGGCCAAGGAGUCCUAGGUUAUGGGAGCUCCCAUCUAUUUUGGGGCCCUGGUACCUUCUGGCAGUAAUCAGUAGGCCAGGCAGGGAGAGAUGCUUUGUUUUCUUUGGUUGGACUAUCUAUUAAAGAGUACUGGUAACUGAGACUUCCACCAUGUUUUUCAAGCAGAGGCUGAAAACAAGGAAGUCUGCAGAACCCGAGUACAGCAUUUAUGAUGCAAUCUUAUCUCUUGCACCCACAGGUGCACCUCACUCUGGCCUGAGAUCACAUGUUAAGUGAUGCAACAAGAAAGUGGUUUCCUCACCCCACAGCUGAAUGUCACGUAGCUGCCCUGGGUGCAUGUCAGUGCUCUGCCACAUCUCCAUUCCUCCAGGAGCAUAGUGCCAGCACAACCCUUUUCCCAUCCCAUCACCAUCGCCCACUUCCUGAUUGAUGCAGGCUUGGCAGGAGGAGACAAACCUACUCCUUCCUACCUGCAGCACUGCUCAGCCAGGAAAAAGCCAUGGGGCUUUCCCUGCAGGGCAGGAGGCUUCAGAACGGCCAUCUGGUAGACACUGACACAAACCACCAGACCUAUCAAGCAGAGGUUAAUUCCCCACACUAAAACAUUCUGAGAUAAAGGGUGGCCAUGACUUUCUACUCACCAAAUGUGAUAUGUUUCACCUAGAUGAGGCUGAGCACAACCAGCCUCAGAUGCUCUGUAAGAGAACCCCACCACUGAUUAGUGGGAUAGUACCAUGCAUGCCACAGUGUUCCAAAUGGCUCAAGGAGCAGUGUGUGGAACCAGCAGGUGAAAAUCUGUGCCUCCAGGCAGAACCCAGAAUAAGCUUCUCAGCACCAAGGUGGAAGGGAAAACUUUAAGACUGCUCUUCCCCCAGGUUUUCUAGGCCAGCUCAGCCGAGGCUGAAGGAACAGGGACAAGCUCUGCUCCACGUUCCUUGCUCUAUUGACCGUGAAGAAGCCGCAGGAGUCCAAAUCCAGACUGGCCCAUCCGCUAAAUCUGUAUAAACUAUAUUGUAUUUCUCAACUACAGAUAAAACCAAUGGUCAAUUUUAGCCAAACCAUCACUUCUGCCAAAAGAAUGAGAAAUUCCUUGAGGUAGGCUUCCUUGGAUGUAAUUAAUUCUUCCCAGGCUAAAGCAGGGUUAUAGCUAAUACAUCUGAGUCACAAUGUAGAUUUGCACUUUACCUAUUAAACAUGUUUGUGUCCAAAAUAUAGAUUCUAUUCCUAACAUCACUUACAUCUUUACAACUUCUACGUGAGGGGCAGGUGUGAAAAGCUAAGUGAUUGAGACUUCUCUCACUGUCAGCAGGAAAGCAACAUGAAAAAUACUUGAUUUUCAGAGGGGGGGUCACCAGCAUCCCCAUGGGCACAUCUGUUUUGUUAAAUAAAACUCCAGAGAUUUGAAAAACUCCAAUGUUCAUAAAUUGAGUUGAGAUUACUGGGCCCACACAAGAUAUCAUUUGACCUACUCAUUUAAUAGGCAGGUCACCAUUUACUCUCUAUACAAAGUAUUUGCUCUUUUACACCAGGCAGCAUCACACCAGUCCUCAUAUGUGGGUACUUGUGUAUUAAUAAAGGACAAAAAGCUAAGAGAAGUUACAAGAGAACUCAGGAUACCAACAGGUCAAAAAAGAGCCUAAUACAUUAAGUAGCUUCAGAAAAAUGCUAAUAUUCAAUAUUUCCCUGCUUAGACUGUGCAGCUGUUGAGAUGAGACUGCCUGAGCAGAGCUUCCAGAGGGACAUCCCUGAAGCCUUGCACAGAGCCAUCCACUUUUGGUUUUGAUGAUUGCAAGUAUUUCUACUACUACCUUUCUUUCUACACCUCAGAAAAAGUCUUCUGAUUGUAACAUGCUUGCACUUGAUGCCUUAGAUAGUGGUUCUUGCUCUGUGACCUCUGCUGCAUAGUGCUUUCUGCCUUAUACAACAUACAUGAGGUAAAUGCUAGUCAAAUAUAUCUCAAUUCUUUCUUGAUUUCAUCUGAUCUAGAAAUGCCUUUUAGAUAUCUACAAUAAAGAUUUCCAAAGACUU